rnacentral:ncRNA from 1 species
GAUCACGAAGUCCGACGUAUUUCAAAGCCUCCCGGCUCGUCGGCUGGCAACCGCGCACAUCGCGCACGGUGCCCCCGGGAGAAGAUCCGCCGGCACGAGCAAUCGCCGCGCCGGAAGUGCGAUGU